CGUGCAGCGACAGAGAUGCCCUUUAAGCGAUGGGUGGCCUGUUUGGGCAGUCGACCUACACACCGUCCAGGGGCGAGCGCCGCUUCUUGCCAUGGACGGCAUGGAGUUCUUCUUCAAGGAAUCUGGAGCAGAUCUGGCUGGCUCUCGAUUGCCUGUGCAGGCUCGUACGGCGUUUGGACGGAGGGGUUGUCUAUAGAGAGCUAGUUGUCGGCGCGCAACUGACUAAGGGCGGCACGAGUGGAACUGCUGAUGCGGGCGAGGAGUUGAUUUCUUCUCUGCCAUUGGGACGAGCUGGAGGCCACAUGGAUUACGAAGGGGGAGGAGAGACCGACAAAGGGAUGGGCGAUUCAUGCGACACGGGAGCUGCAAACAUAGCGUGUGUUGCCGCGGACCAGGAUGCAGACGAAAAGGGCGUGGGAGUAUCCAAUACAGAUCAAUCUUGUUGGACCAGGAGGGCGGGAUUGUCCUGAAGCAAAUAUCCCAAUUGAGGUGCAUGCCUCACAGGUUUAUACCAGGACAAUGUUUGAGAAAGUUGGUGAAGCACUGUAUGAAUGUGGGUGUAUGAUCUCAUGGAAGUCAGGCCAUGCUUGGAGUACAUUGCUAGGCACAUCAAGUUCCAGUCAAGGGAAAAAUGGUGCAAGAAUGAGUUUGUGAUCUCCGCGAGUGAGACAGCUGAUGAGUUCAGGAGUGUGGAACAUUUGAGCACUAUGUCAUGAUACACCUAAAACUACAUGAGCUCCCUGCGAAACAUGUAUCGAAGCGAUGGACUAGAGCUGCAAGAGAUAUACUACCACCGGAGUAUUUGCGCUACCAAAAGGAUCGUGAGCCGCUGAAGUAUUCUUCUCGUCGACACAACACUUUGUACCUGUUGGCACUCGAUAUCGUUAAGUUAGGCGACAGUAAUGUGGAAGCGUAUGCACUUGCUAUGGAGAAAAUGCGAGAUGUCAAAGUGUUGGUCGAGCCAGUUUCCGCCGUGAGGGAUGGGCUUGGUUUGUUUGAUAGAGAGCUGGCAGCAGAUUCAGCUGGCUUUGGCGUUGGUAACAAGCACCACUUUGGCCGAACCGAGUCUGAACACACCAUUUCGCAAGGAUCAGAUGUAUUCCCAGCACCGUCGAGGAAACGACCGGCUGGGUGUCCAACAACCAGUCGUGACAAGGCUCCAUAUGAACAACCAUCAAAGAGAAGUAGAUUAUGUUCUAUAUGCAUAAUUUAGGGACACAAGAGCACAACAUGCCCAGCCAGGGGAGAUCUGCCAAAGGCACCUAAGAAAUCUUCUCGCUGCUCAAGAUGUGGGUUAACAGGGCACAUGAAGAACACAUGCAGCAAUCCACCUAUGGUCUGGAAAAACUAGAUUUUAGUGUUGUUUCCUGAUACUAUGGAUUUGCUUAUGUGGCACUUUGUUAUUAGAAACCGUACCUUAUUUGUGUAAGGCAUAAAAAAAUGGUGUUUGUGCUUGUCUGAUACUAUGCAUUCUUGUGUGGGUAUGGUCAAAAACAUUAUUAGUUCCCAGAUGAACUUCGUUAUAUAUGCUCGUGUGUGUG